UAAAUCAAAAUGAAAAGAUGAGUAAAUUGAUUUGCUAUUUGAAGAGAGUCACUAAUUGGUGCAAAGUGACAUUAGCAGGCAGUUGAAGAUGGUCUUGGAUUUGAAUUACAGCUGAGCAUAGGCAAAGUUGUAACGGGCACUCCCGUUAACGAGUUAGAGUAUACCGAUUUUAGAUCGGUGCACUUGAAGAGGAAUGAUUCGUAAGGAUUAUUUAAAUUAAGGUGGUAACGCGGAAAAGCACUUUCGCCCUUGUA
rnacentral:ncRNA from 1 species